rnacentral:rRNA from 1 species
AUACAGAGGGUGCAAGCGUUAAUCGGAAUUACUGGGCGUAAAGCGCGCGUAGGCGGUUUAAUCAGUCGGAUGUGAAAGCCCCGGGCUCAACCUGGGAACUGCAUUCGAUACUGUUAAGCUAGAGUAUGGUAGAGGGAAGUGGAAUUCCAGGUGUAGCGGUGAAAUGCGUAGAUAUCUGGAGGAACAUCAGUGGCGAAGGCGACUUCCUGGACCAAUACUGACGCUGAGGUGCGAAAGCGUGGGGAGCGAACAGGAUUAGAUACCCUAGUGUCC